GCCAGAGGUUCGGCUUCACAAAGACUGAAAAACGGCUGAUGUUCGCCCCUGACAUGCGGAGACUACAAGAGCUGGAGCGAACUCUAAGACGAAGCAACAGUCAUAAAGACAGAAGAUCGGACGAGUUUCAUGGAACGUGGAAGCUGGUGCAAAGCGAUUCAGAGGUUCAAUGGCCACCUUUACAAUCAAGAAAUGUGGACUGAGGAAGAAGCAAGCUGCAGCGACACACAAAUUGUGAUGGUAGCUCCUUUAGUAUCAGCAACAAAUCCUAUGAUCGUUGGAGGCCGUCUCUUCGAGACUAAAUAAAUAAAACAUCUCAGAGACUACGCUAAGGAGCUGCUUAUUCUGGCCAACUUGUGAGUAAAUAACCU